rnacentral:rRNA from 1 species
UACGUAGGGACCGAGCGUUGUCCGGAAUCAUUGGGCGUAAAGAGCGUGUAGGCGGCCCCUUAAGUCCUGCGUGAAAUCCUGCGGCUCAACCGCAGACGGUCGUGGGAAACUGGAGGGCUAGAGUGCGGGAGAGGAGAGUGGAAUUCCCGGUGUAGCGGUGAAAUGCGCAGAUAUCGGGAAGAACACCCGUGGCGAAGGCAGCCCCCUGGGCUAACACUGACGCUCAGGCACGAAAGCGUGGGGAGCAAACAGG